rnacentral:rRNA from 1 species
GACGAACGCUGGCGGCGUGCCUAAUACAUGCAAGUCGAACGAGUGGCGGACGGGUGAGUAAUAUAUCGGAACGUGCCCAGUAGCGGGGGAUAACUACUCGAAAGAGUGGCUAAUACCGCAUACUAUUGGAUCGGCCGAUAUCGGAUUAGCUAGUUGGUGGGGUAAAGGCUCACCAAGGCAACGAUCCCUAGCUGGUCUGAGAGGAUGAUCAGCCACACUGGGACUGAGACACGGCCCAGACUCCUACGGGAGGCAGCAGUGGGGAAUAUUGCACAAUGGGCGCAAGCCUGAUGCAGCCAUGCCGCGUGUAUGAAGAAGGCCCUAGGGUUGUAAAGUACUUUCAGUCGGGAGGCGUUACCGACAGAAGAAGCACCGGCUAACUCCGUGCCAGCAGCCGCGGUAAUUC